AUUGAACGCUGGCGGCAUGCCUUACACAUGCAAGUCGAACGGUAACAGGUCUUCGGACGCUGACGAGUGGCGAACGGGUGAGUAAUACAUCGGAACGUGCCUAGUAGUGGGGGAUAACUACUCGAAAGAGUGGCUGAUACCGCAUGAGAUCUACGGAUGAAAGCAGGGGAUCGCAAGACCUUGUGCUACUAGAGCGGCCGAUGGCAGAUUAGGUAGUUGGUGGGAUAAAAGCUUACCAAGCCGACGAUCUGUAGCUGGUCUGAGAGGACGAUCAGCCACACUGGGACUGAGACACGGCCCAGACUCCUACGGGAGGCAGCAGUGGGGAAUUUUGGACAAUGGGCGCAAGCCUGAUCCAGCAAUGCCGCGUGCAGGAUGAAGGCCUUCGGGUUGUAAACUGCUUUUGUACGGAACGAAAAGCCCCGGGUUAAUACCCUGGGGUCAUGACGGUACCGUAAGAAUAAGCUCCGGCUAACUACGUGCCAGCCGCCGCGGUAA
rnacentral:rRNA from 1 species